rnacentral:rRNA from 1 species
UGGGGAAUAUUGCGCAAUGGGCGAAAGCCUGACGCAGCAACGCCGUGUGAGGGAUGAAGGCUUUCGGGUCGUAAACCUCUGUCGGAAGGGAAGAACGGGCAUUGGUCUAAUAGGCCUUUGUUUUGACGGUACCUUUAGAGGAAGCACCGGCUAACUCCGUGCCAGCAGCCGCGGUAAUACGGAGGGUGCAAGCGUUAUUCGGAAUUACUGGGCGUAAAGCGCACGUAGGCGGCUUUGUAAGUCAGGGGUGAAAUCCCACGGCUCAACCGUGGAACUGCCUUUGAAACUGCAGAGCUUGAAUCCUGGAGAGGGUGGCGGAAUUCCUGGUGUAGGAGUGAAAUCCGUAGAUAUCAGGAGGAACACCGGUGGCGAAGGCGGCCACCUGGACAGGUAUUGACGCUGAGGUGCGAAAGUGUGGGGAGCAAACA